rnacentral:rRNA from 1 species
AUACGUAGGGUGCAAGCGUUAAUCGGAAUUACUGGGCGUAAAGCGUGCGCAGGCGGUUUUGUAAGACAGUGGUGAAAUCCCCGGGCUCAACCUGGGAACUGCCAUUGUGACUGCAAGGCUGGAGUGCGGCAGAGGGGGAUGGAAUUCCGCGUGGAGCAGUGAAAUGCGUAGAUAUGCGGAGGAACACCGAUGGCGAAGGCAAUCCCCUGGGCCUGCACUGACGCUCAUGCACGAAAGCGUGGGGAGCAAACAGGAUUAGAUACCCUGGUAGUCCACGCCCUAAACGAUGUCAACUGGUUGUUGGGGAUUUAUUUUCUCAGUAACGAAGCUAACGCGUGAAGUUGACCGCCUGGGGAGUACGGCCGCAAGGUUAAAACUCAAAGGAAUCGACGGGG